CGGAGGAUCCAAGCGUUAUCCGGAUUUAGUUGGGUUUAAAGGGUGCGUAGGUGGCUUUUUAAGUCAGGGGUGAAAGACGGUAGCUUAAACUAUCGCAGUGCCUUUGAUACUGAAGAGCUUGAAUAAACUAGAGGUAGGCGGAAUGUGACAAGUAGCGGUGAAAUGCAUAGAUAUGUCACAGAACACCAAUUGCGAAGGCAGCUUACUAUGGUUUUUAUUGACACUGAGGCACGAAAGCGUGGGGAUCAAACAGGAUUAGAUACCCUGGUAGUCCACGCCCUAAACGAUGAAUACUCGAUGUUGGCGAUAUACGGUCAGCGUCUAAGCGAAAGCGUUAAGUAUUCCACCUGGGGAGUACGCCCGCAAGGGUG
rnacentral:rRNA from 1 species